GAUGAACGCUGGCGGCGUGCUUAACACAUGCAAGUCGAACGAUGAACCUCACUUGUGGGGGGAUUAGUGGCGCACGGGUGAGUAACACGUGAGUAACCUGCCCUUGACUCUGGGAUAAGCCUGGGAAACCGGGUCUAAUACUGGAUACGACCUUCUGGCGCAUGCCAUGUUGGUGGAAAGCUUUUGUGGUUUUGGAUGGACUCGCGGCCUAUCAGCUUGUUGGUGGGGUAAUGGCCUACCAAGGCGACGACGGGUAGCCGGCCUGAGAGGGUGACCGGCCACACUGGGACUGAGACACGGCCCAGACUCCUACGGGAGGCAGCAGUGGGGAAUAUUGCACAAUGGGCGCAAGCCUGAUGCAGCGACGCCGCGUGAGGGAUGAAGGCCUUCGGGUUGUAAACCUCUUUCAGUAGGGAAGAAGCCGGCUUUUGGGUUGGUGACGGUACCUGCAGAAGAAGCGCCGGCUAACUACGUG
rnacentral:rRNA from 1 species